rnacentral:lncRNA from 1 species
UCAUGUUUCAGCAGACAAUACAAAGUGGCAUGAGGUGCAGGUGAACUCUGACUUUCAGAAAAAAAAGAUACUGAAAGACAUUGAUGUUGGGGACAGAGUAUAUGUAAGUGGGAGGUUGUCAUAUAUAUUGGCGCGUGAACAGUAUGUCAAGAAGUAUAAAAUAUAUUCUGACUAUGUAAGACUUGUAAGUCACUCAAAGAAGUUCUGGGACCAAAGGCUGGAAUCCGAAGACAAGGCAGGAGAUGACAGUGACAUUGAAAAAUAAAGAGGUACAUGUAUUGUAGAUACAUGUACAAAGACAUGGAGUUCAAAAGAAUUCAGUGAUGUUUCAUGAUCAGCAUCGGAAACAUACACUCACUCGCUGGUGAAACCUGUUCAAGAAACUUGGCAUAUUCUAACAUCAAAGUUAGGAGCUUGUAAAGUUGACGUCAACGUAACAACUUGCCAGUUUGUAAUAAGGAACUUCAAAAUACCUUUACAAGGAUUGAAAAAAACAAUUUUUGCAGUUUGUAGCGGAAAGGAAAUAUAAUGCAAAUAUAAGAAAUGAAUUUUUUUUUUUUGGAGUUCAUGCUAAAUGGACGACAUAAUACGAUCGGCAAAUUAAACAUGAAUCACUAGUGCAAUUCAUGGAUUUGCCGAUCCUGUAAUGUCGUUCAUUUGGCCUUAACUCGGAAAACAAAUAUUUCAUUUCUUAAAUUUAGCCAACUUUUAGUCUUUCAAAAAAAUCUUUCUUUUCAGAAAUUAGAUGCAAAUGAACAGAUUUUGAAAUUAUACCUGUGCCAGUUAUUUCAAAAUUGUAUAUAAAGUGUGUAAUGGUGCUGUGCACUUUAUUUUACCUGAUUGUAAGAGGCCCCAAAUUUGACUUGCUGUUUGGUGUUACUUUGUACAAUUUUUGUGUACUGAAAUAAUAUUUUUACCACGAAACAUUCAUACAAGUAUGUAAACAUUGAAUAAUUGCUUUAAAGAGUUUCUUCAUGAAUCACAGAUGUUUCGAUCAGUGCAAAAAGAAAUCAUUAAAUAAUUCAAUUACACUAUCAAUAUAUUUUAUGUUUUCGACUUUGUGAUAUGUUUCUGUCAAGUAAAACCAUAAAAGUGAUUGGUCUAAAAAAUUGAAAUACCAUCCUUCUAAUACUUACAAACUGAAAGUAAAAACAUCAUUUUUAAUGGUUGGAAAUUGACCCUUGAUUUCUUAGAGAAGACUACACAAUGUGUUCAUUCAUUCAUUUAUUCAGUCAUUCAUUCAUUAUAUUGUUCAUUUAUGUUACAUUUUUGUUGUUAUUUUUAGUGAUACAUUAAAGGUAGUUGAAACAUUUUGUACUUUUAGAAAUGUAGUCCAGUGUAUUAUUUUGUUAUAAUUAUGUUUUAUAAUUUGUCUCCACCACAUGCAGGCAAUAAUCUCUGAGUAAGAUUUAAUCUCUAGGUUGUUAAUCGUAGCAUGCUAUGCUAUAUAGCAUUCACAGUAUUGCAGCUUUAUGUAAACCAGGACCCCAUGUUGUUCUAGGAUGAUCUGUUUAUGAAAAGAAAUGCAAACUCAGUUUUAAAAGGUCCAGUCUAAAGUUACAGAGCCAUUUAUUCUAAAAAGGACUUGCUUUUUAGCUCACCUGAGCACAAAGUGCUCAAAGGUGAGCUUUAGUGAUCGCCCUGUGUCCGUCGUCGUCCGUCUGUUGUCCAUCAGUCGUCCAUCGUCGACAGUUUGACUGUUAACACUCUAGAGGUCACAAUUUUGGCCCAAACUUAAUGAAACUUGGUCAGAAUGUUACCCUCAAUAAAAUCUUGGAUGAGUUCGAUAUUGGGUCAUCUGGGGUCAAAAACUA